CCUACGGGCGGCAGCAGUGGGGAAUAUUGCACAAUGGGGGAAACCCUGAUGCAGCAACGCCGCGUGAGUGAAGAAGUAUUUCGGUAUGUAAAGCUCUAUCAGCAGGGAAGAGAAAAGCAGGUACAUGAAAAACAAGCCCCGCCUAACUACGAGCCAGCAGCAGCGGUAAAACUGAGGGGGCAAGCGCUAUCCGGAUUUACUGGGGGUAAAGGGAUCGUAGAGGGAAAGGUAAGUCAGAAGUGAAACCCCAAGGCUAAACCAUGGAACUGCUUUUGAAACUGUCAGACUAGAGGACGGGAGAGGUAGGCGGAAUGCCUGGUGUAGCGGUGAAAUGCGUAGAUAUUAGGAGGAACACCAGUGGCGAAGGCGUCUUACUGGACCGAAACUGACGUUGAGGCUCGAAAGCGUGGGGAGCAAACAGGAUUAGAUACCCGUGUAGUC
rnacentral:rRNA from 1 species